UUACCAUUUUCAUUUUUAUUUAAUCAUUGUUGAUGGAAGUAAACUUAAGUGCUCUAAGUUCAUUGUUACAGCUGUAAAAUAGAACUUCGAGCCUCGCGUUCAUAGUAUCUGGGUCUUUUACUUAUUCAGGGGAUUUGAUGCCUUGAUUUCUCAAUGCUCAGGAUCUUUCUUCUCUGGAUUUUUCUUUUUUCUUUUCUUCCAACAUCUUAAUAUGCACUAAUUCAUGGGCUUUGUUGUUCUCUUUUAUUCUAUGAGUCCAGCAUCCCAAUCUUUUGUUUGUACUUUAUGGUUUAUGUUUCUCUUUAUAAGGCAAAUUUAUCUUAAGCAACUAAGUUGUACAUCUGCUUGGAAUGAAGCUGUUGUGUUUAUUGUAGUCUAAAUCAGGAAAAAACUUCAUUGGAUGUAUUUAUUUCAAGUAUUUGUAAGAUGCUAUUACUUAUCUGGUGAUUUUCUCAAAUACGAUUUUAUAUAACUUGACUUCUUCCCAGGUUUCAGUUCUUCAGUGGAUAAUUAUUUUUUAUGCCUUUGUUUGUCCCAUAAUUUUAAUGCUUAGUAUAUAGGAAUAGGCCACUUCUUCGCAAGUUUGGAAGCUUUGGUGAGAAGGAAACUAAUGCUAAUGGUCUUUUAAUUAAGUAGGCCCAAGAGAAAGUAAAGAAAAUUUGUGAAGCAAAUGUAAAUCCUUUGAAAGGUGCUACAAAUGGCAACAUUGCCAGUUUAAGUGUUUCUUCAAGCCCUAAUCAACAUAUUGCUAAUGGGGGCUAUCUAGAGUGAUCUCAUAACUGUUUGAAAAUUAACACAUCCUUUUCACCUGUAGGCAUUCGUGGUAGCUGUACUUAAACUAAGCCGUAGUUACAUUGGCAGUUUUUGUAGGAUCCAUCAAUUUUUGGGUGUGUUCGACAUUGGUGAAAAAUUUAUGUCCACUCUCUCUCAGUUUGAUGUAUUGAAUGAAACUAAUCUAAUCGCGGCUGAUUAUUUAAAUUAGUUAUUUAGAAUGCGAAUAUCAUUUUUACUUAGUGUCAACUGGUACCCAUUCUCAAACGCACUUAAACAUUCGCUAUGAAUUUUCUCUACUAGUAUAUUUCUGUGAUUUUCUUGUAUAUUUGAAAUUGCUUAUUUGUUAUGACUUCUCUCCAGGAUUUCGAGCCUUGAAGCGUGGCUGAAUACAAACAUUAGUGCCUGAAUUGAACUUGUGGCAGGAUCUUGCAAGAGAAAGGAGAGAGAAUCUACCUUUUUUCAAUUGAGAUUUCUCAUCCAAAAUGGUCGUGCUUUGGGUGUCACUAAGUAAAUCUUGUUCAAUGUUUUCCAUUACAUCCCAAAAUUCUGGUGUCUUGUCUGAAGGUACAAAUCCAGUAGUUUGUUCUGAAAUACAGUUUCCAAUGUUGUUUUCUAGAUCACAAAUCCACAUAGAUGGAUGGAGAUCUUGCACCUUCAGUUGUUCCCAGCUUCUUUGCUCCAAAAUAACGAUGCUCCUCACAAUUUCCGUCUGUUCAAUUGCAACAAUAGCCAUCACUAGUAACAGUAGAUAAUGCAAUUAUCAAAUUUUGGUUGAAAAUGAGUUCAGAAUUACGACUACAGCUGAAUAAUUUGCAAGAUCAACAUUCAGCAACACAUCCUAUAUGGAGAAAAGUUGAUAAGUAAAUUGUUGUAUUCACAAUGAAGAUGAGUGAUAUUGUACCAGAGCUAGAGGACAAGGUUUCUUCAGGCACGUGUUCAGCAGUCAGGUGAUUAAGAUUUUGUCCGAAAGUUAAAGGAGGUAAUUGUGUGAUGGCUGUUAAUUCUACAUCCUGGAAGCUAGAGGGAGAAUAUCCUUGAGCGGCAGCCACUCGAUCAAAUUCAAGACCUCUGGAUUCUUUUGGAUUUUCAAAAGUAGAAGCGUGUUCUGGCGAAUCUAUAACUAUCUUGAGUUGUUGGCUCAAAUUAUAAACAAGCCUGUCACACUGGAUCAAUUUUUCAUAGUUAUUGUUCGACACGUCUGGAGAGUAUUGUAGAAAAUGCUUCUUGUUCAAACAACAUCAAAGGUUCGGUCACUCGAAAACCAGGACAAAAGUUUUCAGGAUCUCAAAAUUAUUCAGUCAAGUAAUUAUAAGAUCUAUGGUCAAAACCCGAAAGUUAUAACAUAAAAUUUCCAUAGAAUGAAAAACAUAUCCCUAUAUAUAUUAAAAGAGGGACUUCAUCUUGGCACUGUUUAUAGGAACGCAUGCCUUUUUUUGGAUUUA